UACGUAGGGACCAAGCGUUGUUCGGAUUUACUGGGCGUAAAGGGCGCGUAGGCGGCAUGACAAGUCACUUGUGAAAUCUCCGGGCUUAACUCGGAACGGCCAAGUGAUACUGUCAAGCUAGAGUGCAGAAAGGGCAAUCGGAAUUCUUGGUGUAGCGGUGAAAUGCGUAGAUAUCAAGAGGAACACCUGAGGUGAAGACGGGUUGCUGGGCUGACACUGACGCUGAGGCGCGAAAGCCAGGGGAGCAAACGGG
rnacentral:rRNA from 1 species